GCCCGGUUAGCUCAAUCGGCAGAGCGUGGGACUGUGAGUUACACCCACCAAUCGCAUCAUCUAUUUUCUUUAAACUAAUACCCAAUUCAGUUUAUCCACUUAAAAGUAUAAUCCCAAGGUUGCGAGUUCGACCCUCGCAUCGGGCG